rnacentral:rRNA from 1 species
GAGCGCCGUAGCAAUACGGAGCGGCAGACGGGAGAGUAACACGUGGGAACGUACCCCUCGGUUCGGAAUAACUCAGGGAAACUUGAGCUAAUACCGGAUACGUCGGCAACGAGAAAGAUUUAUCGCCGAGGGAUCGGCCCGCGUCCGAUUAGCUAGUUGGUGAGGUAAUGGCUCACCAAGGCGACGAUCGGUAGCUGGUCUGAGAGGAUGAUCAGCCUCACUGGGACUGAGACACGGCCCAGACUCCUACGGGAGGCAGCAGUGGGGAAUAUUGGACAAUGGGCGCAAGCCUGAUCCAGCCAUGCCGCGUGGGUGAUGAAGGCCCUAGGGUUGUAAAGCUCUUUCAGCGGGGAAGAUAAUGACGGUACCCGCAGAAGAAGCCCCGGCUAACUUCGUG